UUAUACGGAUGUAUUAAACUAUUACCAACUACUCAAAGAGUAAUUCCUGCAGUCACGAAAGCUUCAAAUCAAGUUAUUACCAACUAAAUUUCGAUUUAAAGCUUUCGUGACUGC